rnacentral:tRNA from 1 species
AGGAUAAUAGUUAAUUAUAACAUUUGAUUUGCAUUCAAAAAGUAUUGAUACCACUCAAUUUAUCUU